ACACCUCAACUCUCAUGGUUUGCCAUGAUGAGCUUGGACUCUGGGGGUCUUGCUGGCUCAUGGUCAGCUCCUCUUAAAUGGAUCAGCUUUCCAGUGUUUGGUGGCAUCACAGGUGUGAUAACUAUCUACGCUUGUGGUGUCCUCCCAGGUAAUCUCCAGCAAUGGAGGUCACUGGAGCUAAUAAAUGCACAUCUCUCGUUGUAGAGAUGGCCUUUUAGAU
rnacentral:misc_RNA from 1 species